rnacentral:rRNA from 1 species
UACGUAGGUGGCAAGCGUUGUCCGGAAUUAUUGGGCGUAAAGCGCGCGCAGGCGGUCCUUUAAGUCUGAUGUGAAAGCCCACGGCUCAACCGUGGAGGGUCAUUGGAAACUGGGGGACUUGAGUGCAGAAGAGGAGAGUGGAAUUCCACGUGUAGCGGUGAAAUGCGUAGAUAUCGGGAGGAACACCAGUGGCGAAGGCGACUUCCUGGCCUGUUCUUGACGCUGAGGCGCGAAAGCGUGGGGAGCGAACAGG